rnacentral:lncRNA from 1 species
GCCGCGGAGGCACGUCGGCGGCGUCGGAGCGGCGGCGGCGAAACUGCCGUUGUCUCCGAUCAGCCAAGAAGGGGAAAGAGGAGAGGGUUUUCAGCUUUUAAUUAAAAUGAAGAAGGUGGUAGGAGAAAAUGGAAAGGAGAGAAGGGAAAUUAGGGUUACCUGUUUUCGACGGCGGUCGGCGGCGGAGCCAUGGUGGCUCGUCGUCGUCGGCGGCGGCGGUAACGUGACAGCCGUGACGUCGCCGUUGCUCCGAUUCAGCCAAAUCGGAAGAGAGAGAGAUGAGUUUUCAGUUUUAAUUUGAAAGGGGAAGAAGAUGAGGAAAGUAGAGACGGAGUUAGGGUUUACCUGCUUCACGGCGGCGGCACCGCGGUGGUUGCUUCGCCGGAGGCCGAGAGAGGGAGAGGGAGAGGGAGAACAGGGGCAGCGGCGGCGCACCGCGGUGGUUGCGUCUGCCGCCUUGUCUCGGCAGUCUAGAAAGAGG